rnacentral:lncRNA from 1 species
GUGCUUUCGUCGCAGAAGAUCUCGUACCACUCAUCGAGGAAACACCCGGUACCAAUCCCGAAGGGAAAGGGAAUGGUGACGCCACCACAUGUUGGGGGGCAAUUACCCUUCACCAGGGGAGCUGCUAGCGAGGCUUCUUCAUGAAGCAGAAGCGACCCUAGAAGCAGAAGAAUCUGAAACAUUCUUGUUCCUGCUUCUUUUCUCGGGAAAUCGUGGACCUGUUCGAGGAAUGAAUGGCGGGCGCAGCUACUUAGGGUACGUUUAGUAACAUUUAUGUUUAAAAAUUAUUCCAGGGAACAGAAAUAGAAAAAAGUGUUUCUGUUCCGAGGAACAAUUUUUGGAUAAAAAAACGCAUUUGAUAAACUUGUUCCGGGAAUAAAAAAUGAACAGAAACGUGUUUGGUAAAUUUGUGUUCUUUUUUCGUUUCUUUUAAUAUUUUUAAUAUUUUUAACAUUUUUUCUUUCUUUUUUCUUUUUUUCUUAUUUUGGCCGGUCGCCGGCCUCGGCCAUGGCCGACGAUCGGCCGACGAGGGCCGGCGGCCUCACCCAACCACGGCGAGCCCAGCCACUGGGCUCGCCGUGGUUGGGCGAGACUUGGCCUCGCCUUGGCUGGGCGAGCUCGAGCUCGCCCAAAUCCGGUGAGCCCAAGCUCUCCCAGCCUUACCCCGUGCCGGCGAGGCUCGGCCUCGCCGGGGGCUAGCGACGCUUCGGCGAGGUCGCCAGCCAUGGCCGAGGCUGGCGACUGACCAAAGAAAAAAGGAAAAAGAAAAGAAGAAAAAAAGAAAAGAAAAAGAGAGGAGAGAAAAAAUUUGUUCUUAAAAAUUGUUCCAUAAAUAAGAAACACGUUUUUCUUGUUUCUUGUUUCUGUUCCAAAUGUGUUCUUGGGAACAAAAAAAUAGAUUUGAAACAAAAACGCAAACAAACGCGUUUUUGUUCUUUUUUUAUUCCCUGGAACAAAAAAAUAGAAAUUUUGUUCAUAAACAGAAAUAAAGAACAUUAACAAAUAAGCCCUUAUAUGCCACUUUCUCCCGUUGUCGUGGACGCUAUCAUAUUCGAGGAUACUUUCUUGAGUAGAACUGUCAAAGCUUCAAAUCCAUCCUGGAGUAUGAAAAUUCUCCGCUCCUAUUUUGGCGGCCAACUGAGAAGGAUGUCUCCAUUGGCUCUGCCUUGAUGGCAAUCGCGACUAUUUUUUUUUCAAUCUCAGCUGAAUAUGAAAAAAAGAAGAAAUUAACUAAAUAAACACAAAAAUAUUAAAAGUGAUGAGAUUUGGAGAUAUUUUCUUUUGUUCCCCGUUGAAAUGUCUCCUUUCAGAGAGGCUCUAAGUCAUUUUAAGAUUGGACGUCUUUGAAGGCUCCUCCUUUGUCCUGGAUCCUCACGAGGACGAGGGUUGAAAGGUCCUGUGAAAUGGGAUAUUUCGGAAAUAUCUGUGCAUGUCCUCCUUGCGUGUCCCACUGAAUUAUUCUUCCGCCAACGAUGACAACAGCGAAACCGAGGCAAUAUACUGGUUCAUACCUAAUAAGUAACUGUAUAUACUGUAGCAAUACAUUGGUGAAUGUAAUAGAAAAUGUCACAUCAGCAUUGUUUUCCUUAUUAAAUUUUCAAUUUUUUUUUGGAUGUGGUCCUUCUCCUGGUUGAGUGAUCCGUAGUAGAAAACACCCCGUGCCACUCGCACAUAACUAUAUAUAUUACACCAACGUAUAGGUAAAAUAGGAAAAAAAAGGUAAAAUCGUUUUUUUAUUUUCUCUUAUUAAAUUUUCAAGUUUUUUUUUAUGUGACGCACAUCCACGUUACGUGUUUUUAGAACACAAUUAAAAAAAGGAAGCCACAUUAGUAUGCUAUGUUGGCUAAAUUGGACGGAAUUAAUGAAGAAACUUCAUCAUAUCAGCUUAAUAAAUUUUAGGACUUGAUUCAAUUACUUAAAAGUUUUAAAAUUCGAUUAUACUUUUGUGAUGAGUUUCAUGGCUGGUGGUGCACUCAUCCAAAACAAAUAAGAACACUGAUCUUGUAGAUAGCCUUUUUUCUUUUUCUUUUUUCUUUUUGGAAAAUUGAAAUAUCCAAUGGCUUGAACUUCUUACGUCUGAUCGAGCUCAUCUAAAAACUUUCCUCCAUGUCAUUCCUCCAUGAUAGGAUCUUUUAAUUCCAUGCACUUUUUUUUGAGUCACGGCUAUUAUAAGGAAAGAAAAAACCUCAGAAUCAACAGAAGGUCUCAAACUAUCAAAUGGGUAUUGGCAAUAUUUAGAAUUUGAAAAAUUGAACCUCUGAACGAAGAUCCAUAUGCAUUCAUGCUAUGACACAAGCACCCGUACAUUGCCACAUAUGAUGGACGAUAUUUCAAUUUAAAUAUGGCUGAGAUUUUAUAUAUAUAUAGACACACACAUGUUAAGAGGUGGAUUUUAUUGGUUUUUGGCCACUAGUUGGUGGGAAGGGAGUUUUUGGCCGUAAUAAUUAAUUGUGCGGCACGCUCAUAAAUUAUAUCCCAAAGAAAUUGCUAGUGUUUUGGAACCGUGACAAAGUCUUGUGGUAAGAAUUUGCGUCUUCUUUGUGAGAAUGGGCUAAACACUAUAAGUUAUUGGCAUAACUAGGUCUAAGAAGGGUUGUGACUUGAGUGUGAUUAUAAUUUUUAUUGUAUCUCCUUUAUCUAUCAUGAAACCUUGUGCUGCUCUCCCGAUGGAGCCAAACAUUUACUAGACCACGUAAAUAUGAUGUUCGAUUAAUUUCCUUAAUCUAUUUAUUAAUCUUUGGAUCACUUGUUUUCACAAAAAAUUGGUAUAAAAGAUAGUUAGGCUGAGUUGAAGUAGAUUGAUGGCUACAAAAGAAGGAAAUAUAAGAGUCAACAAAUUUGAUUGGAAGGACUUUAAUUUUCAAAAAUGCAUAUUACGGAUAAUAGGUACCAGAGGAAUCUAUGGUUAUCUUUGUCUAGAGAGAACCAAAGUCGAUAAAGCAAGCAAAUUAGGAUUUAAUGGACACACAUGUGUUGGUUAUUACUCAAUUGUCACGUUGAACAUUGCGGAAGAGAAGACCCUACAAAUUUAAUGAAUGUCUGUCAAACAUAUAUGAGAAGCCCUCUACAAUCAACAAUGUCUACUCAAUAUGACUCUGUUUCACUUAAAAGAUGGGUGUGUUGGACGCAAAUUGCGCAACCCCAAGAUCUCCAUAACUAGAACAAGAACAUGCAUAAUUGAGUAGAAAGAUUAACGCACCUGUUUCGGGAUCCAUCGAACAUAAAGCAGAAGCAGAAAAAAGGAUUACCCACAUAUCAAGGGGAUCUACACAUUAAGUCAUUCUCCUCUAUUGCCCUCCGUAUCACUAGCUCAAUGAGGUGGCCCCCCUCACGUGUAGCGUUAGGUAAACGCCCCUUAGGUGAGGAUACAUGUGAGAAUUAGAGUUAGAUGAGAGACUUGAGCACUUAUUUAUAGAGUUUCCAGCCAGUCCCUCUCAUUACGGGCCAGGCUCAACUCGGCCCACACUAGCCAGCCCAUAUUAGACUAAUUAAGAAACUUCUAUCUCACUAUAGACCAACUCUAUUUUACGGUAACUGUAAAAACAGUAAAUUACAAUAUCAAUUAAUUUAAUCCACAUUAGGAAAACUCUUACAUUCUCCCACUUGGAUUAUAUUAAUUGAAAUCGACUGUAUGUGCGCACAUUUGGUCUAGAGAUAAUUCUUAAUAGUCAAUCAUAUCUCAUAAAGUCUUAAACACUGAAUCAUGGCGGUAAAUGCAUGUAUACACACAGAGCCUUCCAUGGUCACGAGUGUUCUCAACUUUAUUGAUAUGGAUUCAAUAUGGUAGUGUGGCAAAUGGAUAACAUCUCUCAUAGAGAGAUCACAUUUGUCAGUCACCAUUCUUUUACCUUAGGCGUCACAAAAACUUGUGCCACUAGAGAAUGUUUUAUGGUUCCAAUGAACCAACAUAUGUCUUGUCCUUAUGGUUAACCUUUCUUUAUGUAUCACAAGACAUAUGCACAAGACUAAUAACCGGAUGCCCCUAGCCUUCACUCAAGGUAAAUCCAGUACUGUUCAAAAAUAUUUUAUUGAAUGCAAAAGUUGAUACAUAUUAAAUCAUUACAAAGUGUAACGAACACAGAUGAAACAUUUCUCAGAGUAAAGCCAAAAUAGCUCCCACUAAACAACAGCAUCUCAUGAUGCUCCUAGGCCCAUGCUAAUGAUAUGCCACUCAAAUACACACGAGCAUAGGCCUUUAGUUAGUGGAUCUGCAAUCACAUCAUCUAUGAAAAUAUAUUAUAUUAAAACGUCACAUUUCUGUACCGUUUGCUUUUGGUAAAAAAUUUUGACCACCAUAUAUUUAGACCCCUUGAGACCUCAGUAGUAAAUAAAUAAUAUUACAAAUUUGUUAUCUCAAUACAAUCGUAUGGGUCAAUUCAUAAAAUUAAAAACGGUCAACUCCUUAAUGAGGUUCCAGAGCCUAAUAGCCCAAGUAAUAACCUAAAAGAAUGUUAUUAGCACUGCUUAUAUAGUAGAAGAUGACAUAGAAUUUUAUUUACUGCACUUCCUGCUAACAUAAAUAUGUAUUCCGUUAUUGAUUGCAUGUCAUCAGAACAGCCAGCAAAGUUUACAUCUAAAUACCCUACUAACUGCAAGAAUUGAACAUGUCUAUAAAUUAACAUAUAAUCUAUUGUCUUCUUUAAGUACCUUAAAACCUUCUUAACAGUAACCCAGUGAUCAUGUCCUGGAUUUGACCGAUAUCUGCUUAGAAGUCGCGUCACACAGACAACAUUUAGUUUAAUGCAAAUUCGAUCAUACAUUAUACUUUUAAGUGCACUGACACAAGGUACUUCUUUUAAUUAGAUUUUCUCAAUAUCUAAAUAAGGACAAUGUGAUAGAUUUAGUCCAUCACCCUUAAUAACAGGAGCAAUUCUUGGCUUGCAAUAAUGUAUAUUGAAUAUUUCCAAUAUACAAUCAGCAAAUGUUCUCCGAGAAAAUCUAAUAUAAUAUGUCAAAAACGGUCCUUACAGACCUCAGUACAUAGGAUAUAAGAUGUCUCAAGGUCACAACUUGUAAGUAAAAUAUUAUGUACAUAAAGUAUGAGAAAAAAUAAAUUUCCUCCCACUAACCUUACAGUAUAUUGAAUUACUUUGUUCCAAAUUAAACAAAAUAACAACAUUAUGAAACUUUAAUAAUAUUAUCUGGAAAUUUGCUUAAGACUAUAAAUAAGACUUUUCAAUCUACACACAAGUUUACUUGAAACAUUUGUUGCAAAAUUCUCCAAUUGAACAAUAUAGAUUUUGUAUCCAUUUGGCGUAACUUUAUAUCAAAAUAAAUUAUUAAUACCACGUUCACUCUGAAAGAAUAUUUACAGAAAUAAUUAUUUUUUUACUAUAAACAAUCCAUAUAAGAUGCAAAAUAAUUCCAAGUGGAUAUGAAUUCCGACGCACUUAAUAUUGGAUUAGAUAACCUCACUUUUGCAUGACACCUCUAAAUUUCAUAUGAUUCAAGUAAUUUAUGUCCAAUCUUUAAUUCAAAAGAAGUUUAUGAAACAACUUUGAUAAGAGACACAUUUUGUAUGUGAAAAAAAUUACUUUCAUAAUAUCAACCCACAAAAAACCAAAUAAAUUAGUCUUACUAAUCAUAUUCAUUACCAUGUUCAAUAUGGUGCAUUUAUGCCUUUUGGCCAAAUCUUUUUGUCAGAAUUUUCAGGUAUAAUAAUUAAAAGGCCAAUUCCAUAAAUAAAAAAAAGCACCAACUUUAGCCAUUUUCCCAAAUCUAGCCCGAACUAUAUUUUGUUCCAAAAAAAAGCCCAAACUUUUAGUAACAUCCCAAAUCUGACCUUCGUUAUCAUCCUUCCAUAGUCACCGUUAGUCAUCUCUGAGGCAUUUCCAUGUCACCCAGAAAAUUUGUUCCAAUUAUUUUCCAUUUUCUCGAAGAUUUUCCGUUCGUUUUUGUUCGGAAUUGAGCCAAGAAAUCACCGGUUUCUUAUCCUAGCGAGCGUGAGGUCAUGAUUGCAACGAUGGAUUCUAACGACGAGGAGGAGAUCGAGUUCGAAGAGGACAAGAAAGUUAGGGUUGUGAAGGAGGCCGGUGUCCCCGUCGCCGUCGACAAGGACGACGAGGAGACAACGAGGAAGAAGAGGAGGAAGACGGCAUGCAAAGCUAGGAGGAAGCGAACGGUGAAGGAGAUGGGCGCGGCGGCGUGGGCGACAAGAACGACGACGAGGAAGAGUAGGACGACGGUGCGUUAUCGACCCACCAAAGUCUCUUUUUUUUUCCGUCUCUUCCUCCUACUUUAACCUCGCUUGUCGCAGCCAUGGACGGGGCUUUGUUUCAGAUCUAGAGUUGGCCGUCAGGAAGAUGAAGACAAAGAUGAAUAGCCUCGUGAGCAGAUUGUGAAUUUCUGAAUCAACUUUAGCAUUCAAGUAUGGGAUUCUCUUCUUCUUUUUUCCUGUUCCAACGAUGAGCUGAAAUGAAUACAAGGAAACCUUUAGCAUUCAAGUUUCUGGGUUUCCUUUUCUUUUUCCCCCAAGAUUCCAUAGAUUUCCCAUAACCCAGCUUCCAUAGAUUCCGUAUAACUCGAGUUGUUUGUGGCCAUGUCUUCCAUGUUUGGCCAAAAAGACAAGUCAAGAGACUCACUGACUUUUUACUCACGUUGCUCUAUAAACUCCUCUAAAUAUCAGAUCUUUUGGCUAAAAAGACAAGCCAAGACACCCAUUGCCCCUUCCUUGUCUCAAAGAUUUUUCCUCACAUUUUUUCUUUUUGAAGACUUCUAUUUUUUCCAAAUUUUUGGCCAUUUGCUCAGGCCAAAAACGGGUAAAUAUGACCACAAAGACAAUGGAGAUGGAGGACUCCUUUCGGCGAAAAUGAAGCUAACAACAAGGACGACGGAGGGGUGGUCUGGUUUGGACGUGAAGUGUUGGCUUGGACGAGCAUCGACAAUGGACGCGCGGAUGUCAAGCUUGGCGGUGACUCUAGUCGGAGGAUGUCAGAGAGAGUGACUUGAUGAGUAGGACGAAGAGAAUGCCACUAACGGUGACUAUGGAAGGAUGGUUAACGGAGGCCAGAUUUGGGAUGCUACUAAAAGUUUGGGCUUUUUUUUGGAACAAAAUAUAGUUUAGGCCAUAUUUGGGAAAAUAGUUAAAAUUGGUGCUUUUUUAUGGAAUUGGCCUAGUAAUUAAAUUACCACCCCAGAAUCUACGAAGUAUUUGACAAAUGACCCUUUAAGCUAUUUCGCAUUGUCAUACUUGUCAAAAUACUCACAGCCACUGUUAAGCCUGACAACCUUUUAAGAUUAAUUGUAAUUGUUUUAUUCUUUAUCUCGGUCAUUUUCCUUAAACAUAAAAUUUUCGGAAACAACAUUUUAAUCAUAUACGAGAUGUAUAUGUCAUUAGGACUUAAACAAAAUCUUUGCAGAUAUGUCCUAAUUUCAAUAUCAGACAAUAUAUAAUUUCAAACAACUAAGGCUUCCAUCAUCUUAUAAAAGUGCAGUCUGCAGACAAACCUCUUUUCAAGUGUUCCAAAAUGGAAUGCUUCAUGAACAAUAAGCAAAUUCAAUUGCUCUUUUCUCAAGCAACAAAUCAUAUAUCCACAACUUAAAAUUUGAAGCGGUAAAAACCUCAAUAAUAAUGAAGUUAUUAAUUACAUAAAAUGUGACUGAAAACCAAGUAAUGUAUAUAAUUAGCAUUAUGUGAGCACUGUGUAACUUGACAUAUAAGUACACAUCUAGAGAGUUACACGCACAAUUAUAUAAUCACCUUUGGGCAUAAUACAUGACAUGCAGUUGUACACUCCCCACAUGAUAGCGGUUAUGAGAAUAUAUUCCAAUUCUUCGUGAAUUCAUCACCUUUGGGCAUAUUAAUCACUAGAAUCAGUCACCCUUCCAUCACAUUAUCAUGUAUCCCUCCAUGAAUUAAUACACAAUCACCUCCUUUGGAAGUAUGACUACGUAUUAGACCAAGAGACAUCACAAUCAUUAUACGAGAUCGAAAUUUCUCAAACCCAAUCAAGCGUGCCACUUUGGCGGUCACUACUCAAUUUAAUCAUUGAAAUUCUCUCAUACCAGGGAUAUAAACUUUACUUCUCACAUACACCAUAUACAUGUGAUGUUAACUUUAGUGAUAGGGACAUCAUAUCACCAAAAUCACAUAUCAUGCUAAUUACAUUACUUUAUUCAUUAAUAAAAUCUUUAUUUAUACAUACACACACACACACACACACACACACAUAUAGCGAACCUGAAAGACAGAUUCCAAUGAGAUCACUAAUCACAAUAACACAAGAAAAUUCUCAUAGAAGCAAGCAUCUUGUGCACCCUGAUUACUGAUUACUAAAAUAACAUUAAAAGAAUGCCGAUUCAAAGGAUCCCUCACAAGUUAACAUCAAUAGCAAUACAGGGUACUCUAGAUUGACAAGCUUGAUAACUAAUCAACUAUUGCUCAUGAGUUUCAUACGGCAAAACAUGACUCCAAGACCAACAACUGAUUUAUUAGCCAAUUUUUAAGUAACAAAUUAUCAUUGUAAUCAACCAGUGGCCUAUUAAUUGAGUCAAACCAAAGAACAAAAUAUCUAAAAUUUAACAGUAGAUACUAUUGCUCUGCGUAAAUGUUGUUAUACUCCUUAACCAUAAAAAUAUUUAACUUGAUAGACAUUAACAAGUGACCAGAUGAGUUCAUGUACAAUAUGCAGUAACUUAAUUGACAUGCAUUACCCACAUACAUCAGAUAUGUUAAUCAGUACAAUCAGUUUAGUCAUGAGUUCUUAAGACAUCCAUCAUUCAAAGAUUACCAGCGUAUCAAGGAGUAUGCUUAAGUAACACAAGUUUUAUAACCUUUACUGUUUUUCAUCAGCUCAAUACAUAGCUCAAUUAGUAUUCCAUAAUGGUUGUAUAUCAUUAAGCCAGCUUCAGUUCACAAUAAAAUUUAAUUUUUAUUAAUGAAUCAUAACAUUAUAAUAUUUAUGUGAUAACAUACCUGUAACUCAACACUUAUAUUUCCAAAAUCACAGAAAAUAUAAGAAAAAUACGCAAAAAUACACUAAAAAUACACGUAUUUAGGGUUCCGUAUGUAUUUUUACAUCCAUAAAAUUUCAAACAUGUAAAGUAAAUGCAUCACAAUGUAGAGGGAAAUCAUACGAAUCCAAAGCCGCUAGCCACACAUCGAUCGGAGUCCCCACGCGCCCACACGCAUCGCCUGAGUGCGCCGCGCGUGGAGCUCACGCGCAGCGCGCGUUUGACGCCCAAGCGGCGCGUGGCCAUGCGUGGCCGCUAACCGUCUUGCUCAUCUCGUCAAGCCCAGUCCAAAUUUGUGAUUUAAUUUUAUUUUUAUUGAACAAAAAAUCUUGAAAAUCACAAAUUAUGGCAAAAACUUUAUGCGUUCAAGUUCUAGGGUUACGGUUGCUCUGAUAUCACAUGUUGGACGCAAAUUGCGCAACCACAAGAUCUCCAUAACUAGAACAAGAACAUACAUAAUUGAGUAGAAAGAUUAAUGCACCUGUUUUGAGAUCCAUCGAACAUAAAGCAGAAGCAGAAAAAGGCUUACCCACAUAUCAAGGGGAUCCAUGCAUCAAGUCGUUCUCCUCUAUUGCUCUUCGUAUCACUGGCUCAAUUAGGCGGCCCCCCUCACAUGUAGCAUUAGGUAAACACCCCUUAGGUGAUGAUACAGGUGAGAAUUAGGAUUAGAGGAGAGACUUGAGCACUUAUUUAUAGAGUUUCCAGCCAGUCCCCCUCAUUACGGGCCAGGCUCAACUUGGCCCACACUAGUCAACUCAUAUUAGACUAAUUAAGAAACCUUCUAUCUCACUUUAGACCAACCAUGUUUUACGGUAACCGUAAAAACAGUAAAUUACAAUAUCAAUUAAUUUAGUCCACAUUAGGAAAACCCUUAAAGGGUGAAGAUGCAUCAUGGUUGAGCAUAUUAGUGAAUUCAAUUAGAGAUUGAAUUUGCUAAUAAUGUAUGUGCUUUGAUUCUAUUAUCAUAAUUGCUUGAGAGUUGGAAUACUAUAAUUCCUCUAUGUAUAUAGUAAAAUUAUAUAUGCUCGUUGAAAGGCGCAAUUUUAGUGCAAGUACGCUUAUUUUUAUUUUCCAUUUUGUGUGUGCGUCGUUUUCCUUUUACUUUCAAUUUCUACUAGUCCUGCAAAUUGGGUUGACAGUUGAAACACCGAGUUCGAUACGAUUUUCACGUUUCGUAUGCGUAUAGACCUAAUACUACGGAGAAAAAGGGGAUAUCGACAGAGACCCUUGAUAGUGUUAUUUACGUGAAAGAAGGGACUGAAAUAUCAUGUAUUGUACGCAUUAUUUCAUUACACACUCUGUUACUUCCUCGUAUCUGCUUGGGAUGCUUCCUUGAUGAUAAAAAGAUCAAAGCUCCAAAGGUAGACGACGCCAAUUUAAGCAGACGAGCGCGACUUUUCCCACUGUCGUGGCCAGAACUUUGUCCUCAUCUUUUCUCACGGGAAAAGACCGGGAGCAUUAUCAAAAUGAAUUAAAAUGAUUUAUCACGGGUGGACUUGGACUUUUGAUGGCCCCACUCUCGUAUUCCUACUACUUUUCUUCUCCUUUAAAAAAAAAAAAAAACCAUUUUCCACGACAAGAACGCCUUUUUAAAUGGCGAAAUCAUUCAAUAAAUUUAGACUACGAUGACCAAGACGUCUUUUCUUCUCUCUCGACGAAUGAAAUGGCUGGGCAUCUUUUCGAUCUACAAAGGUGAAACCAAAAAUCAGUUUAUUAAAGCAAAAGUGGUUUCCUCUUGACUUGUUUAAAAGUAGUGGGUGUGCGUGUACCACGGCCUCUCCCCCAUUAUUGAAGCGGAAUUCAUUUUUAUUGUUCUUAGUCCAACGCUGUUCGUGCUCAAGCAAUCAAUAAAAGCACUUCGGAAUGCUAUUUUGGCCCCCCAAAAGAGGAAAAAAGACGUAUGUGAAUCAUGAGAGAAGUCUUUUGCUUCCACAAUGAAAGAGAUUCCGCCCAUCAUGCACUAGAAUUGAAGAAAGCUAAAUGCGAUUCUUGCUUUAAACCGGUCUUAUUAAUUCGCUACUGCUCUUGAUCAUGCUACAAAAAGUAUGCGGAACUAUUGGCACAGUUUUAUUUUUUUAUUUUCAGUAAAAAUAAAUAUAACAAACUAUUUAUGGUACCGACGAGAGGAGACAGACAAUAGAGCCGAUUGUUUUUGGAAAAAAAAAAAACAGUUAGGUCCAAAGAAAUUGCUAGACCAAUAUCCAAAAUAUGUUCAGUCAGAAAAAAGUUUAUGCAUUUUUAACAUGCGUAGUCUUCCCCAAAGGAAGGACAGUACCAAUGGGUCGUGUGAAUAUCUAAUUGGCUUUAGUAUCUGGAAUUUGCUGGUUCAUCUUCAUACAUAAGAAGAGAAUUUGAAACGCUGAGCGAGUUCGAUAUGAUUUUCACGUUCUGCCUAAACCUAUGGAGAAAAGGAACAGGGUUCAAGUCCCAUAAUUCUAUUCAUUAAAUGAAAGAAGGGAAGAAUUUUCCGUGUGAUGUACUUGCAGAUGUAUUUUUGGAUCAUGCAUCUGUUCAUAACUUGAGAUAUGCUCGAGCUUGAUUACUUUAAUAAAGUAGACUCCAUCAUGUUUCUGAAACUGAAAUCAAAUCGCAGCUCUUUUCGGCACCGAAAACUAAUCGGCGAAUUGAGCUGGCCGAAGGUUGAUACAAACAGGACGCUUGCUUCAUAAGAGUACGAGCGCAACCCUAUGGUAUUCCUCACGAUGAGCUACAACACUGUCAAGAUAAAUGAGGGAAACCAAUUUCCAAUUUGUUGACUACUCAGAAAUAGCAUGUUCCCCCAACUUGUUGUCUAGGCCACGAGGUUUCUUCUCUCGUCCUCUACUCAGCAAAGAGAUUGGGUUGUGUCUCAUAAAGAGUUCAACAAAGACCCCUGCAAAAUUGUACACAUUAUUAGGAUUCCGCACACAAUCACAAGAAAAUAGAAAAAAAAAAGAAAAAAAAAAGAAAAAAAAAGGAGUAAAGCAAGAAAGAAAAUUCGAGACACAAGAUUUAUGCGGGUUUGCUCUAAACUAGGGCGAUGUCCAUAGAAUUCUGUUCUAAUUAGCAUAUUACACAUUUCUGUUACAUUUCUCAAUUACAAGAGAAAGAGCACAACUCCCAUGCUAUCUUGUCAAUAGGGAGUACAAACUAGCCUAACACAUAUAUCUUUUUGUUGGUGAAUUGAUGCCUUUGGAAAUAAUCACAGGCCUGUUCAUGUGUAGCUAGAGAUUCUUGUGGGGGGAGGAUGCUAGAAAGGACCGCCUUCACUAUGGUUCCCGAUGUGAAUGGUUGCAAAUCUGAAAAUGUUGCUACAUGUCGGUCCACAUGAUAAGAUUUCAUUGAUCAUAAAAAUGCAAGGCUUGAGCAUGUCUAAGUCCCAUCAAUGCGGAACCAAUUUGCACGUAAACAAAUGAGGGAAGACCGGCAUGGUGGGAUCCAAUGGAUGACUUGUUGAUAGCGGCCCUUGUGGUCUUCAAUAACGUUAUCACCUGUGAACAUUUAUCAGGACAGGCCGUUGACUUAGGGUGCGCAUGAGAACAUUUCUUGGUUUCAGAAAUUGUUCUUUUCUAUUUCUUUUCAGAAAUAGUUCUUUUCUAUUUCUAUUCUGGGGAACAAUUUCUAUGUAAAAAAACCCGUUUGAUAACUACACAAAAUUUUUACUCUAGAAAUAGAAAAAGAAUAGAAAUGCGUUUGGUAAAAAACAGUUUCUUUGUUAUAUUUAUUUGUUUUUUUUUUUUAUUUUUGCUGGUAGACCGCCGGACGCCGCCGCCGCCGCACGUCCCUGGCGGUCGACGGCGGCUGAUGGGCCGUGCGGCGGCAAUCGGCGGCGGCAGUCGGCCGGCGGCGGUCGACCGGCGGGGACGUGCGGCGGCGGCGGCGUCCGGCGGCGUCUGGCGACAACCGGCGGGGGCGGCGUCUGGCGGCGUCUGGCGACGACCGGCGGCGGCGGUCGGUCGGCCUCCGGCGGCGACGGCAGCAACGGUCGCCCGGCGGCGACCAGCGGCGGCGAAGGUCGGUCAGCCUCCGGCGACCGACGGCGGCUUCCGGCGGCGACCGGCGGCGGCGUCCGACGGCGACCGGCGGCGACCGGCGGCGGCGUUCGACGGCGACCGGCGGCGACUGACGGCGGCGUCGGUCGGUCGGCCUCCGGCGACCAGCGGCGGCGGCGGUCGGCCUCCGGCGGCGGGAGCGGCGGUCAGCCGGCGGGGGCGGUGGUCGGUCGGCCGGCGGCGGCGGCGGGCGGCGGCGAGCAACGGUCACAGCGGUCAAUGGCAGUCAACAAGAGAAGAAUAAAAGAAAAAAAAAAUUAACUUAUUUCUUAAACUUGUUCCCGGGAACAAGAAGCAACUUUUUUUUACUUCUCAUUUCUAUUCCAAAACCAUUCCCGGGCUAACUUUUUGUUCCCGGGAACAAAAAACUAACUUGCCGUUAUCAAACAGGUUUCUAUUCUUUUUUUGUUCCGGGGAAGAGAAGAAUAGAAAUUUUUGGGCUGGGGAAGGUUACCAUGCAGACCCUUAAAGUCUCCGAUGACGAUAGAAUAGAGAGACCAUCGAUCCUUUUCUAGCUGUUAUGCAGAAGAUGACUUUCCUUGGCCCACAAGCUUCUAGUUGGCAGGCCAUCAUUAAGCUUGGCUACGUCAUUGGUCUUGUGUCGACCUAUCUUCCACGGCAUCAAAAGUUAUCACUGCUCCAUCAUCAAAGCGCUGACGAACUUGUGCUCUUAGGCACUGCUACCUCCCGUGGACAACAUUAUGGACUCCUGAUGCGUCCGAUGGGCUAUAUCUAGGGUCUUAGAUGGUGCUGAGUAACUGUAACUCACAUGUAAUCUCUUGUAGUGGAUGCUUGGCUACUCGACCCUUUCAUUUUUGUGAUAAUCAUUCACGGUCAUUUGUGUGAUAAUCAUUUCGUGAUUUCUGAGUCAACACAAGCCGUUUCCCCAUUUGCUAUGAUAAGGGCUUGUGAAUUGGAAAUGAAGAUGCAUCUGGCAGAUGGCCUAUUGUGAAAAAUCCUCACAAAAACGAUCACAAUAGUGGGACGAGUACAAGGAAUGGAGUAGCGUGCCAUUUAGGCCUAGUAGAACGCGCAGCACAUCAGCGCCAUUUCCAGGAUUUUUAUCCAGCGAAACAAUACAAUUUUUUAUUAUAAGAUUCUGAUCGACAAUCGACAAUUCAUAUUUCAAUUUAAGAUUUCUAUUCCUGAUUAUGCCUUUUGGGCGGGAACGCUUUGCCAAUUCCUUUUCUCCGGCGUUUCUAGUACAGGCAAAUAAAAAUGGGCUUGAGGGGGCCCUAGCUGCAAGAGAGGCCCAAUUAGGUGGAUAGUGAACUAUUUUGGGGAGAAGAUUUAGGUUUCAGAGAAGCAUACUACGAGCAGUGCGACCAUUUUUAUGAAACUUUCCAUUAUAAAAAAUGUUCCACACUUAUGGAAAAUAAAGGAUUCACACAGAAAACAAUUGCCAAAAUUUAAAAAAAAAAAAUUGAAAAAAGAGAAGACAAUAUUGGCCAUGAUCCCACUUUCUCACUUGUAGUUUUGGAGGUGAUUAUUAAAUAAACAUAGAAUCUGUAAUCAAUUGAAUAGAAUAGUGGAUAAAAUAUUGAAAAAAUCACAAUUAUUGAUAUUUUUCAGCGAACAUAUUUAAUGCGCAUGUGAAAAUACAAUCAUCUAUAUAGAAAAGUUCUUACUCAAAGAAAUUGGUAUGUGUGAAGUUCGAGACAAAAACAUAAGAAGUAUACAACUCAAGGAGCAUAUCUAAGGAGAUUUCAUCUUGUUGAACUACGAAAAAUCCAUAGUUAAAUUUCAAGAUUUUGUGCUCAAUUUAUAAUUCAAUGUUGAAGACAUAAAACUAAUUCAAUUUUGUGCUCAAUUUAUAUAUGAUUAAUUUUCACUAUAUUUGUUUACUAUUGAGAAUUGGCAAGUAACAUUCGCAAGGAGGGGGAUAGAUAAUAGUGUAACUACUAGGGUUCUUUGAUGUUGAUACAGGUAGUUCUAGUGGUGAGUUUCGAUACAUCAGAUAGUGAGGAUUGAAUGAUAUCUUGAUCUAAGCAGCAAGAGCAUCAGCAGCUAGCAACAAUCCUUCCAUGCUAUUGACAAUUUAGUGUGAUCCUCAGGGAAGAGUCGGGUAAGGCAUAUGCAAGAUCGCUUUCUUUUCCAAAAGGGAAACAUCUUUCUUGUUUUUUUUUUCCCCAAGCAAGUAACAAUCUAACUGAACCACGAAGGUUGGUGCGCCGUGUGACUAGUGUAAGUUCUACAACAAUCAAAUUGACAGCAAGUAUUCAAGGAUCUCAAGACGAACUAAAAUCACAGCAUCUUGCUCAAGUUAGAUGAUUGCAAAAUUGGCACAUACAUGCUAGGAUAAUGCCUAGCCAAUUCAAUGAUUGGUAUGAUUUCAUAGUUUAUUGAUCCCCAACAUCGAGAAAAAGUUCGUUACCAAUAAGCAAUAAAUAACUAACCAAAAUCCUCAUAUUAGUAAACUAACAAGUUUUCCUCCCUUCUCUCUUUUCUUUUUCUUUUGCUUCGAAGACUGAUUUCCAUGACAAACGCAACGACAUGACUCAUAAGAAUGAGAGGUUGGACUAAUCUUCACCAUGUUGCACUAGAAAAAAGUGGCUGCACUUCCAAAAAUAUAGUGACAUCCGCAUCGAUGUUUGACUUGCUAGAUUUAAAAGUAGUAGCGUAAGAUUUAGUUGCCUCACCAUCCUCUUGAUCUUGCUGAGUACUCGAAGGAUAUUGGAGCUUCCUUAUCCCCUCCAACUCCAUUGCCACUUCUUUCAUUGUAGGUGGGUUCCUUCCAUUCAAGUUCAAGUUUCUUUUCACAAGGUUAGUAUCUAAUUCAAUCUCUUCCUUCUUACCUUCUUUCCAAACUUGAGCAUCAACAAUGUUGAACAAGCAAUUCUCCUUCAUCGAAAUUAUGAAAUAGGUUGUGAGGCUUCUUACUUCUUGUUCCCUCAACGACGAGAUUGGCUUUUGUCCCGUUAAGAGUUCAACAAGGACAACUCCAAAGCUGUAGACAUCGCUUUUGUCUAUAAAUUGACUUGAUCAGAAAUACUUUGAAUCUAGGUAGUCAAAAGUCCCCUACACCAAUGUGGUCACAAGGGUUUGAUCGAGGGAAAUGGACAUAGAAGUGUCGAAAUCCGCCACUUUUGCUCGAUAUUUCUUAUCCAAGAGGAUAUUGGUGGACUUGAUGCCUCGAUGAUAUAUCAUAAUAGAGGCUACUGAACAUAAAUAGAAUAAGACUCCAGUAAUUUUAGUAAUUCAUAGGCAUGUGUCCCACAAUACGAGAAACUUGGCAUUUGGGUCAUCAUAUAUUGGUAUAGAGUUCUAUUUGGUGUGAACUCAUAUACUAAAAGUGGGAAUUCCGUCUCCAAGCAACACUGCAAUAACUUGACCACAUUUCUAUAGUUAAUUUGUGAGAGAAUUACGACUUCAUUUAUGGACUGUUCGACUUUUCCUUCGUUUAAAACUUUUGAUUUUUUAAUAGCAACUAUUUUUCCAUCGGUUGACAUUCCUUUGUAAACAAUACUUUGUCCCCCUUGAUCGAGAAUCCUAUUGUAGUUGAAAUUGUCAAUGGCCUUCUCUAAAUCCUCAGCAUUGAACAAUUUGCUUUUCUCAACGUUGUCUUCUGGGAAAGAUAGCUCACUUUUCAACAAAAAGCCACCAUUGUGUUUGAAAUACUUAUUUUCUCUUCUUGAUGUAUCUGUACAACCUCCAUAAGAAAAGACACAAAAGUAGUGCCCCAAGGCUUGCCCUAGCCCCUGCAUUGUAAAAGUUUAAGGUGCAUAAGUGAGAAAAUUGUACUUGCUUGUCAAAAAAUCUAUGAAAGGCACUUAUCAUCAAAGUGAAUCUAAUUAAAAGGAAAACAUAUAGGAGUGAUUAACCUAAAUCUCCUUUCAUGCGGAUUUUCUCAACAACCAUGAAAAAAUAAUUCGUCUUCUGUUUAAGUUCCAUCCCUAAAAAAUUUUAUUAAUAUAUCUGCACCGUACAAUUGAUCUCCACCUAGCAAGGAAUUUAGGAAACCACUGAUGAAAGUGAAAUAGUUCAUAGCAGCAUUCAUCUUUACUAUCAUUGUAAUAAUUGCAAUUAAAAUAUACCAGAAUAAAUAGGAAUCCUGGAUAUCUUUAGAUAAAUAUGAAGCGGUGGCAUUAGAGAAGCUCAAGCAUUUUCUUCUCUAUUUAACUAUUAGUGUUAAAGAAAGUUUUGAGGUUGUUUUAAUAGAUACUAUUAAUUGGAACUUACCUAUAAUCAUCACAAGGCGAAUGCGCAAUCAUGUUAAAAUGAAGAGUAAGGUAAUACUUAUUUUGGACCUUUUGUGAAUGUAAUUCAUGCUACAUUGCACUUUUUCCACCAACGCUACCAGCAUGAAGCUGUGGGUUAAAAGAUCUACUUACCAAUAAGAAUGAAUUUAUCUGUCUUUCUACCAUCGAUGCAGUCAUAGGAGCCCGGUUUGUCCACACAAGUCCUGGUACACCUAUUUGAACCUUCACAUUCAUUAAUAUCUGAUGACAAAUAUAGAAUAAAGUAUAUUAGCAGUGAAACGCACCUCCUUGGCUAAAAGUAGCAAGACUAGUAGGUCGCAUUUUCUCACAAAUUGUUAAUUCCAUGGCUAAAAUAUGAUACAAAAAGACUGUCAUGUUCCCCUUCAUUUCCAGGGAAUUAUUAUCGAUAUAAUCGAUUUUGUUUGAAAUUGAAUUCACUUCGUAUAAUCUCAGACAGAAAAAUAGAAAAGGAAGGCUGAAAAGCAUGUAUCUGAUCAUUUAACAGUGUGAAUGCAUUAUUUUCAGAGAAAAAUGAUCUCGAACAGCGUGUGUACUAAGGUCGCAGGGUCUUGGGUGUCGUUGGCUGCGAAUCCCGGCACGAGCUCUGGUUCGGACGUCCCUGUUUCUCACCCCUCAGUUGGCGUAUACUAAAUGUUCGAUAAAUUGCCUAAAUUAGACGCCCGUUCUUGGUCUUCAUUGUGCCCGAAACUUGCUGUGUUUUUGUUUAUACUGAGCAUAAAUGAGUUGUCAACCUUGGUCAUUCAUUACUUGCUGAUUUUGGUCUGUCUCGGACAAGUUCGAAGCGUCCUCUUAGCUGACGCCCUCCGCACGUUUGAUGAAAUGUCUGACUGAAAUGUACGCGUUUAUUCUUAAGUCCUCCGUCCCUUUUAAGUGUUCGUGAUUGGUCAAAUGCGUUCCGGUAGAUUCCCACUGCUACCCUUUGUUUUGAAUGCCCUUGUGUCGUGGUUUAUUUUGGCGUGCAAUAUGUUUCCACGGGUGGCCGGUUCUCGGUCGGCAAAGACGGGGUAGUGGUGAUUGUGGCCACAUAUGACAGCCGCGUAGUGGCUCGGCGUGGCUUGUAUUGUGCCCGAACCACUCUGAUUAACACUUGGGUCCUUUUAGCUGUUUGCGUCGGUCAUUGUUCAUGGUCCUUGGGAAAGAACGAAGCGCGUGUCUGGGCAAGGAAAUGCUCAUGUGAAGCCGUGAGUGGGGAACUAUGUAACACGGACACUCUAUGGAAGCUUUCGUGUCAUGUCCAACACUCCGACACGUGGUCAACUCUCUCCGACACGCUCUAACACUCGAGUCCAGAAUUCCGACACACAAUUCCGAUACGCACGGGGUCAAUUUUAAACAUUUAUAAUACUUGAGAGGUCAAAAUAUAAAUAUACACAAAAGAAGUAAUAAAAGAAGUAAUAAAAUUGCUAUAAAUAUACAUGCACAGGGUCAAUAUUUUUUUUUUUUCAGUUUUGUUUUUUUAGAAUUGUUUUAGUUUUUAUAAAAGUCUUUUACUAUGAAAGAAGUAAUAAAAAAAAAUGCUAUAUAUGAUAAAUAAACAAAUUUGAAAAUAUCAUUUCAGCCUUUUUCUUUAAAUAAUAUUUUUUUCUCUAAGUUUUGUGUAUUAUUGUAACAAAUUAAAAUAAUGAAUGAUAUUAUUUAAUAUUUAAUAUAUAACGUGUCGGAACGUGUCGAAAUUCUCUAUUUUUAAAAAAUGACGUGUCGGCGUGUCGUGUCGUGUCAUGUCGCGUGUCGCGUGUCCGUGUUGGUGCUACAUAAGUGGGGAGUGGGAAUUGGCUAGUGGGCUUGUGUUGUUAGGGGUCUGUUGGGCUCAAAAAGAUUUGGAUCUUGGUUUGAUUUAAAAAAAAAAAAAAACUUGGGUUCUUUUGGGCGUAAAGAGAGCUUACCUGUAGUGGGCUUAAGAAGAGAGAAAAGAGUUGGGCUGGUUUGGGGGUUUCCUUGCUUUGGGUUGGCCUUCCUUAUUAUUCCUCCUCGGAUGGGCCUCAUUUUGGGAGGGACCGGACUGGGCCUGAUAUGCAGGCAGAGUACGGCCGCGGGUUGGGCGACCCGGGUUUUUUUUUUUAUAUAAUACAAUAUUACUAUUUAAAUAUUUAAAAAAUUAACAAUAAAAAUAUUCCAAUAAAAAUAUUUCCAAAAAAUCAGGAAAAGCUUAAGAAUAGUCUUCGGAUGGUUUUUCCUUGAAGUAUUUGAAAAUCCUUAAAAGAAAACAAAAAAUAAAUUGUGUUUAAAUUCUUAAAAGCAAAUGUCGGAUUGCUAUUUGCACAUUUUCUUUAUUCCAAUUGCACCUUUAUAAUGCAUGGAUUGCUAUUUCUUUAGCUUGGUUAGGAAUGGAAUUCUAGGACUCGUGAUUAGUAUAAAAUGCUGAACAAAUGCUUUGCUUGAUGUUUAAACAAGUCUAGGUAUCGAAAGGAUAUUGAUUGAUUAAAUGGUGCAAUCAGAUCCUCGAUCCUAAUUUUUAUAGUUGCGUAAGAGUAAAAUAUUUCUCUCAAUAUUUUAUUUGAGUUUCCAAUUGACCCAUCAAAAACCAACUAAUUGUAAAUUCUUAAUGUAAAUGACUUGUAGGUUCAAAUUAGUGGGUUUGGGAGAGCUUAGACUAAGUCUAGCCUUGGUGCUAGCCAUUAACCUCCAUGCUUGCAGGAGGGCUUCAAAGAGGUCUCGAUAAUACUUAACUUAAACACCUAUAUUGAACUAGAGAAAAUUUGAAAAGGGAACUAUUCAAAUACCCUUUUCUUACAACACUACCAACAAGGAAAUAGCUUAAACAAACAGUUUACAAUUGACCAAUAAAUGGGCAAGUCUCCCUUACUUGUUAAGGUUAAGAGGGAUGGGUAAAGACCAAUUUUGAUGCAACUUGAAUAAUCAAGUCAUUCGCCUCUGCACGUAUAGCUAGAAAUUGUUGUGGAAAUGAUGGUAGAAAUUACUAUCUUCACCAUGAUUCAUAAUGUGCGAAUGGCUGCACAUCUGAAAAUGUAGUUGCAUCUGUGUCCACAAAAGAUUUGCUAGAUGUGAAACGAGAGACACGAGAUUUAGCGGCCUCCAUCUUUUCUUGAUUUUGUUGGAAGCUCGAAGAGCUUUGGAGCUUCUUGAUUCCCUCCAACUCCAUUACCACUUCUUUCAUUGUAGGCCGGUUCCUCCCAAUCAAGCUCAAGCACCUUCUUGUGAGGUUAGCAACGGCUGCAAUCUCUUCUUUCUUGCCUUCCUCCAUGACCCGAGUGUCAAUAAUAUCGAACAAACAUUUUCGCUCCAUUGAAAUUACAAAAUAGGCUGCGAGGCCCUUUUCUUCUUCUUCCCUAAGCCAAGAGAUCGGUAUUUGCCCUGUUAAGAGUUCAGUGAGGACCACUCCAAAACUGUACACAUCACUUUUAUCUGUGAAAUGACUUGUUUUGAAGUACUCCGGAUCCAAGUAUCCAAAAGUCCCUCGCACCAAUGUGGUUACAUGAGUUUGGUCGAGGGAUACGAACUUGGGUGUACCGAAAUUUGCAACUUUAGCAUGAUAUUUCUCGUCCAAAAGGAUGUUGGUGGACUUGAUGUCACGAUGAUAGAUGGGUAUAGAAGCUGCUGAAUUCAAGUAAAAUAAGGCUCCAGCGAUUUCGGUUGCAAUUCGUAGGCGUGUGUCCCAUGACAUGAGAAGAUCUUCAUUCAGGUCAUGUAGAUACUUGUACAGAGUCCGAUUUGGUAUGAACUCAUAUACUAAAAGUGGGAUAUCUGUUUCCACGCAAUAGCCCAUUAGCUUAACCACAUUCCUAUGAUCAACUUGCGAGAGAAUGAUGACCUCAUUGAUGAACUCUUCAACCUUUUCCUUGUCUAUUAGUUUUGAUUUCUUAACUGUAACUAUUUUUCCAUCAGUCAGCAUUCCCUUGUAAAACAACGCCUUGUCCACCUUGGCCGAGUAUCCUAUUCUCGUUGAAAUGGUCAGUGGCCUUCUCUAAAUUCUUGAAACUGAAUAAUUUGCUUUUCGCAACGUUACCUUGAGGUGAUGAUGAUAGAUGUUUUUGCAAUAAGGUGCCCCACUGCGUUUUAAAGUACUUCUUUUUUCGCUUAAUUUCCUUUUUUUUCUUGAUGACUCCGUAUAACCACCGAGAGAGAAGCAACACUUGCGCUAAUCGUCCAACGCCCGCUCCAAGGCCUGCAGUUCGGAAAUUUGGCAGAGGACAGAGUCAUAAAAAGCACCUGCUCUUAAGAAUGUUUACUAUUGUGCUAAAUUAUCCACGAAGGAACAGAGUAAUUUGGAAGCAGGAGAACAAUAGAUCUCAUAUUAAAUUAUGGAUAUUCUUUCCAUUGGCCAAGUAGAAAUUUCUUCCCAUCAUAGGAAGCUACCAACUAUAUAUGUGACAAACUUAGAUUAUGCAUAGCUUGAAAAUUGAAUUCAAAACUUCGAUCAAAUCAUGACAUGUAGAAGAGUAGAGCAAUACGUAAAAAAAAUUUUAAAAAAAAAGUGAAUGGAUAGUCACGUUGGAAUGAAUGGUAAGGUAAAACUUACUUAUGUACCUUUUCUGAACAUAAUUUAGGCUAUGCUGUUCUAUUUCUAUCAAUACUCUACAGCAUGAAGCGGCUCAAAUUUCUAAUUUAAAAGAUCUACUUACCAGUAAAAACGAAUUUGGCUGUCUUUUUAGGGUCGUCGCAGAAAUAAGUACCCAAUUUGUUCACACAAGUCCCCGGGCACAUAUUUGAAUCCUCAUAUUAAGUAAAAUCGAAGGAAGAAGGCCACAAAGACCAAAUUUAUUUUUCUAGGUUCAUCAUACUCGAUUCAAUUCUAUGUUACGACCGUGGUUUUCCAUUUAUAUUUUUAUUCAAUCAAUUUUAGGAAAAAUGUUCAACACGGUAUAUAUUUUGACACUUAACCACUUUGUUUAUUUUGGGCCUUUUCUCUCUCUCUCUCUCUCUCUUAGCAUAUGUCAACCUUCGUAUAUCUUUCAUAAUUUUAUUUUCUUUUCAAAAAAUAGCAAAAAUAACCAAUGGUACUCUCCUAUGUUGACACCUACCCACCGUUAGUAAUUAUUUUUGACCUUAUAGUUCUUUUUUAGGCCAUGUUCAGCUAUCACAUUUUUUUUUCUUCAGAAUUUUUUUUCCUAAAAAAAAUUGCAAAUAUAAGCAUUAUCAAUGUUCUUUCCAUGAUUACGUUUUUCAUUCUAUAUGUUCUGUUUCAAAUACAUGGAUUCAUCCGAAAGAAAGUGUCAAUAUGCUAACAAAAAUCGUUGAAAUAAUCUGUUAUGGGACAUUCUACAAACAUAAAACAAUUGCAAAGAAAAAAAAAUGAUGGCCCAUUUUUUAUAUAAAAAGAAUCAUUAAAUAACUUGAAAAAUUCUAAAGAAAUUACUUUUGAGGAAAAUAUCCACAUUCGUUUUGAUGUUAUGGAUGAUAUCACACGUGUGUCAUGGUUGAUUUUGUAUAUAAAGGAAAUGAUCAAAUCUCAUGCAAACACUUUAAAAGAAUGGUUUUUUUUUUAAAAAUAAGUUAAUUGACUUUAAAAGAAUGGUUAAUACUUAAAAAAAUCAGAAAUUGAUAUAUCCGUGACAAAUUUACCCAAAACUAAUUUUUUAAGAACAAAAAACCCAAAACUUGUAUACCUUUGAUAAUUUACCCCAAAUCGAUACGCUUAUAACAAAUUUACCAUUUUUAGCUUUUGUUAAAUUUUAUUCUCAAAUUGCAAAGUUCGAUAAUAUAUGACAUUUGACUAAUGUAUCAAUUUGAGAUUUUACUUUUUGUUUAUCACAGUUGUACCAUUUUUGUGGUUUUUUUUUAAUAUUAAUCUAAUUUAAGGGAAAAUAUAUAUUUGUGACAAAUAUACCACUUUGAGGUUUUUGAUAGUUGAACAAAUUAUUUUUGGGUAAAUUUGCCACACGUGUACCUGUUUGAGACUUUUUGCAAUCAUUUGUGAUAUAUUUAUUACAGGUGUACCAAUUUAGGGUUUUUCAUGAUUCAAAAAUUAGUUUGAGGUAAAUUCAUCAUAAGUGUAUUAGUUUAUAAUUUUUUAGGGUAUUAAUCCUUAAAAGAGUUAAGUGUGAAAGAAAGACCCAGAGUCUAUUUUUAAGUGUUAUGAAGUAUAUAUAUAAAUUAGUGGGGAGAUAUUUUCUAUGCAUCCUGGCAUAGUAACAAAAAUAUCACCACAUCUCAUGAUCCUUUAAAAAUGUACAUUUAAAUUUUACAUCAUCUUACUUAAACUACUAAAAAAAAAUAAAAAUAAAAAUACUUUCAUUAUAGGACAACUGUACAAUAAUAUCAUCCAAUUGAUUUUCUCCCGAUAUACUUACAUCUAUCGAAAGAGAAGGCUAUAGAGAGAUUUUUAUUUUUAUUUUUAAUGUCAGACGGAACCAUUUAAUUUUCGCGUGGACCAAACCAUUAUUUGUCUUGACAAUUAAUGGUCAAAACAAAUUCAAGUUAAAAAUUGAGUUAAAGGGGGAAGAGUUCAAAAAUAAAGAAUCAAAUGACUGAAAUUGCAUCAUGCUAUAUAACAUUUUCGAGGUUGGGAGUUUUAUCAUUCGUAGACUCCAUGUUUAAUUUAUUUAGAUGACAGGAUGUAAUAUUCACGAAUCUGGGUGCACCAAAGAUGGAUAGUCCUCGUUCAUAAAAUAUGUGCCCAAAUCAAACAGCAAACUUGAAUUCCGAAGAGCUGUGUACGAACAACAAACAUCCGAUCCACUGAAAAUGCAUCAGGCUAUAUAACAUUUUCUAAAUAGUGGGAUUUAUCAUUUAUAGACUCCCUGUUGCCUUUCUUGAAAUGAUAGGACGGGAUAUUCCCGAAUCUGGGUGCACAAAAGAUGGAGUCCUUAUUCAUAAACAUGACAGAUUGAAGAAAUCUACUUACCUAUGAGGACAGACUUGAUUAUCUUGCUUCCAUCUACACAGUCAUAGGAACCUCGUCGAUUCACACACUUUCUUCUUCCAGGGCACGGAUCGGUUGGACCUUUGCAUUCAUCCACAUCUGAACAAAAGAUGACAAUCAAAAUUAGUAGAGCCUCGUCUCUUUAUUGGGCGUUUAGUAUUGCAUGCAAAGCUACUUCAGCCUCCAAAGAGCUACUUCUCCUUAUUAGUACAGUGUUUCGAUGUUGCGUUUCCAAUGAUUGGUGUGAUAAUAUGUAACUGGUCUUACCUUCGCAUCCAGAUUUAAUAUAGGGGUUACCGGUGAAGCCCCCACGGCAAGAACACUGCAGAAAUGGCAUCUCCUUGGGAUACGGUGAAUUGAAGCUGAAAUUGCUGCAAUGAUAGGAAUCGCCAUGUUUGUAAAUCUCUGAGGCAGCUCGGGAGGAUUUAGCUAUCCCCCAUUCUAGCACCACUGGGAAAUGCCCGCUCGCCUUCAACUUAUUGAAGUCCAUAGUUGAAGAUGUGAAUUUCGACCUAUCUCCCAAGAAGGCAUACUCGCAUUGAUUCAUUGGUGAAUCCUUGUCGGGAUUGAAAGUGAUGGUGAAAGCCUGAAGAUCCGGGGUAAUCGUGGUGUGGCAGCAUCCAUCGCUGCCCGAACAAGUCAUCUUCCUAACAACCUUGUCAUCUUUGCAGCUAGAUUUGCAUCCUAUGAUUGACUUUUGGUUAUCCAAUAGAACGGCUAUGUUGCAACCGACGGCGGCCAAGACGUUCCUUGACUCGGAGAAGAUGAAAUGGCUCCCGUUCAAGCUCACAGGCAUAGAGCUUCCAUUUCCCCUGCAUGUCCCAUUAUGCCAGUAGAUUAUUGGAAGACUGACGGUGAUCAUGCCGUUCUUUCCACCAUGGGAAUUGGGUAGCGAAAUGUUGAGCACCCUCAAGUUAAGCUUCUUCAGCAUUGGGACGGCACUGUCGGUGCUCUCGUCGCAGAAGAUCUCGUACCACUCAUCGAGGAAACACCCGGUACCAAACCCGAAGGGAAAGGGAAUGGUGACGGCACCACAUGUUGAGAGGCAAUUACCCUUCACCAGGGGAGCUGCUAGCGAGGCUUCUUCAUGAAGCAGAAGCGACCCUAGAAGCAGAAGAAUCUGAAACAUUCUUGUUCCUGCUUCUUUUCUC